rnacentral:lncRNA from 1 species
GGUUUUGCUGCUAUUCAUGGGGAAUAAUCUUCAGAUGGCAGAGAGUGUAUGGGAAGAACAGUAGCGGUAGGGUCACUGUUUCAGGUUCCCAACGUAGCCACUGUUAUCUCUCUCUCUCUCUCUCUAUCUCAUGUUCAGGCUCCUACUGCUCCUGCAAACUUGUCCCGGAGAGGCGAUCCAAGAGGAUCUGUCAGCGUCGGGCAGACAGAAUCUGUUGCCUCGACGUAGAAGCCAGCGGGGUAAGGGCCGCGGCUGAUCUUCAUGAACUCGUUCUUUCCGCGUAGUCUCUAAAACUUCGAUUACAAUUAUCCAACGAUCCGAGAGAGAUCUUAAUGUGAUGCGAUCUGUUGCAGAUCGGAGUUCUCUCGAGUUGAAAGGAGCGGCGGAGGCCUCGCCGCGAGGCAGCGUGGCCUGUCGGGAACCCGUCGGAGCCCGAGGAAGAUGCAGCGGACUCUCCCGGUGCUCGGCCACCCGGUUCUCCGGGGAGGUACAGAAGAGCUGAGCGAUAAAAAAAAUCCUCUCUGUCGGGCGGAGCAGGGGGAUUUGAACCAGACCGAGGUGACUGCGGACAAUAAUUCCC